CAUCUCUGUCUGUGAUGUGCG
rnacentral:siRNA from 1 species